rnacentral:rRNA from 1 species
CGUCUAUAUACGUAUAGCAUAUCAAUAAGCGGAGGAAAAGAAACUAACUAGGAUUCCCUUAGUAACGGCGAGUGAAGCGGGAAGAGCUCAAAUUUGAAAUCUUCAAGGUUCUACCUUGACGAAUUGUAGUUUAAAGAAGUGUUUUCUGUUAGGAUGAGUAGCAAAAGUUCUUGGAAUAGGACAUCAUAGAGGGUGAGAAUCCCGUAUUUGUUACAUUACAUUCUAGCGUUGUGAUACAUCUUUCAAAGAGUCGGAUUGUUUGGGAAUGCAGUCCAAAAUGGGUGGUAAAUUUCAUCUAAAGCUAAAUAUUGGCGAGAGACCGAUAGCGAACAAGUACCGUGAGGGAAAGAUGAAAAGAACUUUGAAAAGAGAGUUAAACAGUACGUGAAAUUGUCAAAAGGGAAGCGUUUGACACCAGUGUUGUUUUCUCGAAAAUCAAUUACAAAUGGCUGGAUUUUGUGUUGUAUUGACCUUAUCAGCUUUCUGCACUUUUUCUAGUCUUUCUUAAUGCACUUUUCGUUUAACAAGUCAACAUCAAUUUCUUUUGUUGUAAAAGGGUAUGAGGAAGGUGGCUUUCUUUUCGGAGAAAGUGUUUAUAGCCUUGUGCCUCUGCAAUCGGAGAGAUUGAGGUCUGCAGCGUAGAUCCUUCGGGGUUAGAUACAUUUGUGCUAAGUUAUAGCUUUUCAUAGACAACUUGUUGACUAUGUUUAGUCUUGUAGCUUACUCGCUUAUGCUAUUUUACCUACGCUUAGGAUGUUGACUGAUAUGUAGUCGUA